rnacentral:rRNA from 1 species
UACGGGGGAUGCAAGCGUUAUCCGGAAUUAUUGGGCGUAAAGCGUUCCGAUCGGUGGUUUAGUGUGUCUAUAAUGAAAGACCGAAGCUUAACUUCGUGUUUGUUGUAGAAACUACUAAACUGGAAGAGCAAAGAGGUGGCUAGAACUCUGCAAGUACCGGUGAAAUGGGUUGAUAUGCAGGGGAAUACCCAAAGCGAAAGCAGGCCACUGGGUGCUUCUUGACACUGCUAGGACGAAAGCGUGGGGAGAGAAUGGG